UAGUCGGAUGGGCUCUACAGACGUAUUGGCCGUGUGGCUUAGCCAGUAAUGUUAUUAUUGUUCUUUCAAGGUAUUGCAUUUUGUUUUUGUUUUUGACUGCGUGUAUUUCCGGUCUAAUCCAAGACUGUGUUGUGCUCCUAAGAAAUAUGAUUCUUCAAUGGCGGCAGGAAACAACCAAGAAUUCCGCUAUGCCACUGGAAGAAGAGACAUACACGUAGGCUUCAUUGUCUUCAGAAUGACUCAAACCCACCGGAACUCUUGUCCUAUGGAAGAUCUCAGCUGUUCCAAGGUGGAGAUCUUCGACAGAACUUCGUGUCUACUGAUCGCUGGUUUACUACUUCCGCCACAGUACAGGAGUAGAACAAGCCUUUAACUCCAGUCACACAUCUGGCCCGGUGCCUGUGAUUGUGGAUAGAAUACCAUUGCAUUGACCUUAAUUGCGUGCAUUUAGAAGUGUUACAACUGUUUAAAAAUUCUUUGGCCCUCGUAAGCCUUAAAUUCGCAAGAGAAUACUAAGUUAACGCAGACGCAUUCUUCGAUGUUAAUUCAGUUGUAGCCUGCAUUCAAAAGUUUCACAGAGACCUUGACCUCUGACCCACCACUCUGCAUAAAGGACCACGGACAUUGACUAUGAAUGGGUUCCUCACUACGCAUUUCGCUUGAAUGAAAGAACAAGUGCAAGGGCCUUGACUCCGCUCUAGUAAUAGGCUUAUCCCUGACCCUGAAGGUGCAAGUCAGCUGUGUUUCAUUGCCUGAUUUCGUGAGUUACAUAUCGACAUAAUCCAAGAUACCAUAAAAAUGCAACGUCGAGUGGCGAAUAGUAGAUGAUCGUGAAUAGUGAAGUAGAAAGGACAAGAGAGACAGUGAACUUGUUUUACAUAUCGCGUUGAAAUGUUGCCGAUCAUAAGUUUCAUGAUAUUAGUUAGCUUUCAACACUCUGUAGUCUGGAAUUCUGAGGUCUGAUUUUCGGCUCUGAGUCAGGGUAGCAUUUUCCUCACACCUGCAAGGCAAGUUUUGGGAUAAAAAACAGAUCAAGAUCGAUUCUCAAACCUUCUUCUAGUUCAUUCAUUAAUCAUUCUGCAGCUUCAAUCGAUGUUACUUAACCUUUUCAGCUGACAAAGCGUCGUUAGAUAAACCAAGAUACAAGAUAUAGAAGGUAGCAUCUCCGGGCUACAUUCGAACCAGGUAGCCUAAACACGAUAACAGCGCGACUGGACACACAAGUACAAUCAUACCCCAAAACCAACACGUCAUUCUGUGAAGCCAUAUCAUUUAUCUGAUUGUUAUGCUUCUUCACUUAGUAAUCAACGGGUUUUGAAUUAUCAUAUAGAGCAUUAAAUCGUAGGGCGACUGAAUGUAAAUGAUACAGAACAAGUUCCAUAAAUAUAAUAAUUUUAACUCAUUGCCUAAAUGUUUUAAUUGGCCAUAACAACGUAAUACAUUUCAUCUUUAAAAUCAUUUUUAUUUUAUUAUAUAUAUUUAUGUACAUAUUUAAGCAUCCAAUUGAAUGUAGAACCUUCAUUCCAAUUUAUGAAUUUUGCACUAAUUCAGAAGUAAACCGAAUGUAUUAACUGAGUGGAAAUUCAGUACAUUAGUAAUAGUUAUUUCUUUGUAAUAUAUGAAUUAUGUAAAGCGCAAUUCAGUUGUUUGAAAAUAUUUGUUGAUGUAUACUACCUGAUGAUGGCUUUAUAAGCCGAAACAUGUACCGUAUUACCAUACUAUUAAACGAAUAAACUCAUUAUACA